GACGAACGCUGGCGGCGUGCCUAAAACAUGCAAGUUGAGCGCUGAAGGUUGGUCCCUGUACCAACUGGAUGAGCAGCGAACGGGUGAGUAACGCGUGGGGAAUCUGCCUUUGAGCGGGGGACAACAUUUGGAAACGAAUGCUAAUACCGCAUAAAAACUUUAAACACAAGUUUUAAGUUUGAAAGAUGCAAUUGCAUCACUCAAAGAUGAUCCCGCGUUGUAUUAGCUAGUUGGUGAGGUAAAGGCUCACCAAGGCGAUGAUACAUAGCCGACCUGAGAGGGUGAUCGGCCACAUUGGGACUGAGACACGGCCCAAACUCCUACGGGAGGCAGCAGUAGGGAAUCUUCGGCAAUGGACGAAAGUCUGACCGAGCAACGCCGCGUGAGUGAAGAAGGUUUUCGGAUCGUAAAACUCUGUUGGUAGAGAAGAACGUUGGUGAGAGUGGAAAGCUCAUCAAGUGACGGUAACUACCCAGAAAGGGACGGCUAACUACGUG
rnacentral:rRNA from 1 species